rnacentral:lncRNA from 1 species
CGCAGAUGCAAAGAUAUAAGUUGGAUAUUGUUCACGAAGAUUCAGAUGUUAAGCUCAGAGGUUUAAACCACGUGUUAUUAUCCAGAUCCAGUGGUCCAAACCAAAAAUGGUCACAGGGUAGGUAGAAAGAAAAAAAAAUUUUAAAUAAAAACAGAUGGAAAUAUGGAUUGCUGUUUAGCAGAAAAAGCAGGGGCGUCUUUCUGUGGUAUUCGUGAUGUUUUUGGGUCGUCCGGUCUAUUUAUUUAUUUAUUUCAUCAUUAAAGUAAAAAGGUUUUUUGCAAGCUGCAUUGGAUGUUAUCCUGAUAACAAUUAUUGAUGAAAAAAACUAAACCUUGAAUGAAAAUGCAAGAGAGGAGGGAUCAGUAUGGCAAUUCUCUUUAUAAUGUCUAGUAUGAGACUUGUCUUUAUAUAGUAGAGUAAGGAUUUAGGAUUCUUCGACAUCAAAUAAGAUUAGAGUGAGUCGUUAAGCAUACCGUCAAUUAGGAGCUGACUUGGACUUACUAGUAGCUCAGGCUUCUGUAGAGUCUAUUCUAUAAUACUGAAGUUGGAACUUGCUCAUCUUGUUGCUUGCCGUUCUGCUGCUGAUGUUGGUUAGUUGGGCAUCAAGCAUCUCUAAUUGAAGAUUCAAUUUGCAGAUAUGGAUCGCAUUUCAACCAGAACCCUGUCUAUGGCCAAAUAGUUUCCUCAGGGUUGAAUUUAAUUUUUUAUUGGAAUAUGAACCCUCAUGUGAAAUUCGGAUGGCAUAUAGCGAUCAGU